UUUAGAUUGCUAUGUUCACUGCACCAUCUAGAACAAGAAUGUGCCAGUCGUUCCCUGUCCAAACAGAAACAACAGUAUCAUAUACAAGGUCUGUUUGUACUUCACCCAGACCUUUAUUUCCCAUUCAGCUGGGCCAGGUUCAGCAGCCUAGAUUCUGACUGUACCUUUCUUGCCCUGACUGUAUCCAGUUUAUAUCUCUCUCUAGUCUGUACCCAGACUGCUGCUUCUUUCUGCUCCACCUACACAGAAGCAUCUGAAGCUGACACAGAGUACUAGACCAUUAUAGGCAGGUCCUACAGAAAAAGCUGGGUUAUUGGUACUAUUUUGGGGGGAAGUCACUUUGGCUAAAUGGCCUUGACAUCAGAAUGGUAUGAAAUGCUUAGGCCAGAUCAGUAAUUCUUUCCUCUGCCUUUGAAGUUCUCUGAAAAUGAGAUAUGGGAUGGACACACACUGGACAGAACAGGGAGACUAUGAAAUACUUCCUAAGCAGAGACUAGACUGAAGGUUCACACGAAUGGGUAACGUGAUAUAUUUUGAGAGCAUUAUCACUGUGCAUAUCAGCUCAUUGCAGGGUUAAUCUUGAAUGGUUUGUGUGUCUUGCUCAUCCUGACUUCUUUACUCCUCAGCCUUCUUUAUUGGGAUGUUGAACUCCUUUGUACAUGUCUUCAUGUACACGUAUUAGGCCCUGGCAAGCCUGGGACCACAGAUGCAGCAUUACCUGUGGUGGAAGCGUUGUCUAACCAUCAUGCAGCUGGCAGGGUCAGGUGCCUCCAGCCUGGGAGUAGUGUCCAGGUAACAGGAGAAGCCAGGAACUCACUGGAACUGCAGGAUGCACUCUCCUGUUUGCUGCAUCCCAGCCUUUCCUAUUAAAGAUGCUCCCACCAGGACUAGGGUGAGUUACAGCUAUAUAGGCCUGAUGAUUUCACUUUACAUUAGUGUAAACAAGAUGGAAAUUGGACAUUAUAUGUGAAAAGCUGCCUCUGUUCUUUCACUGUUCUGAAAGUAAAGAGAAGGCAUUAUUAGUCUCUGGUCUGUCAUUCAAGCAUUUGCACCCUAAGCAAGAAAUUAAUGUAGUGAGAGUCAUGGACCAUUUUCUGGAACACUUAUUUGUCUUCAGUUGCUCUCAUAACACCAGAGAGAAAACUUUUUAUGCAUGAGGUUCUUGUCAUUGCUGCUUAGAGAUGCCACAUUUUUGAAUAGCCAGCAUGGACUGAGGUUCCACAUUCAUAACUUCUUUCUCCAAUUUGUAAUAACUGUUAUUAUUUUAGUCUCUCAUUAAAGGUGAAAAAGAUUCACACCACCAUAAACAAUCACCUUCAUGACUGAAUUCUACUCCUAUUAAUACAAAAUUUACAGAGUCAGCUCCCUGGCUAGUGUAAAGCUGCAUAGCUCCAUUGACUUCAUUACAUCAGUUAUUGGCACCUUUUGGCUCCUAAAUUGGCUAUAAUACUAGAAUUUGGCCCCUAUAUUCAUCUAUAGGCACUUAAAUACCCCUAAAGUUUUGAUCUGGUAGCACUUUUGGAAAUUCUAAAUUUAGAUUUUAAACUAUAAAAUAGUAUUUAUUUAUUGCAUUGUAUAUUUUGUUUUAGAAAUACUAUUAUGCAGUAGUGAUUUCUUUUACAGAUAGCCCCUAAAGGAGCAUUUUAGCUUUAAAAUUUGUCACUUCAGGACAUUGCUAUUGCCAAGACAAAUUCACCUCAAAUGUAAACAGGCCUAACUCCUCUGGAAAGGAGUUAGAGGAUUAUAUUCUAGCUUG
ensembl:lncRNA